CUAAAAUGGCUAGUUAAAUAGUUUUUUUAGUACAAUGUUUCUUUUUUAGUAAACUGUUUUGUCGUUAGUCUUUUUAGAAUAUUUUAAGCAAGUAUUGUUUUAUUUUUUAAAGCAGUUAAGAGGAGCUGAUGUCUUUUUUAGAAAAAUAAUUAUGAAUAGGAAAAUUAAAAAAAAUUCUUCUGGAAUUUGUCAAAGGAACGUUGUGUUAGGCUUCAUUUUAAGAUCUGGAUACAAACACAUUGAAAAUACAUGUUAAUGAAUAAAGAUAUAAACAAAAUACGCCUGUGAGUGAUAAAAGAAAUACAAACAGUCAUUGAGCCACCAGUUGAGCUAAAGGUGUAAAAAAAUGUUGAAAAAAGAGUUCUAAACUCAUACUUUGCCAGAUACUUGUUAUGUUUAUCACUUUUGUACAUGGUUGAAUCUCAUGAGAAGUAUGAACUUUAUUUUGACAAGUUGUUGCUGAAGUUAGUUGCUUAUAAAAAGGUAUCACUUUAAGUUGCUAAUCACAGAGUAUUCACAAUUUUUAACUACUAUUGUAAAAGUGAACAAGGAAAAAUUUCUUGGGUUCAAAAAGAAAGUGAUAGAUUGGAUUCUUUUUUGGUUCAAUAUACAGAUGCUUCAAGAUUUAAGGAUUUAAUGAAAAUUUACCAACUGCUACUAAUAUUGUCCCAUGGCCAAGCACAAGUAGAGCGUAGAUUUAGUAUAAAGACAAACUUCUGGAUAAUAAUAUGCUAACUGAUUCUCUUGUUGCACAGAGAACUGUACAUGACCACAUGUGCAGUGAAAGUAUAAAAUCAUCCCAAUUGGCUAUGAGAACUAAACCUAUGGGACAUGUUAAGGAUGCACGAAAACUAUACUUUAGCAGUCAGAAAGAGAUGUCCUUGAAUGCUUUAAAAACUGUUUAUCUAGAAAAAAAAUUUAAAGUGAAUGGAUUAUACUUGUUAAUAAAUAAGAUAAUAUAUAGAUUUUUGAUAGUUUUCAAACCUAUUUUUGUUAUUAUAUAUAUAUUAAAAAUGUUCUUGGUUUUUUACUUAUGUGUUUUAAGAUUCUUAAGAUCUAGGCAACUUAGUCAAGCAAGAUGUGUUUUAUUUUUUAGUGCAAUUGAAAAGCUGCUCAAUGAACAGCAAAAACUUGCCAGAAUUCAGUGUCAAGCGGUGUUAAUGUCUUUUAAUGUAUUUUAUAAUGAAUUUUACUAUUUAUAGUAACAAUUAUCAACAGUUUCAA